AUUGAACGCUGGCGGCAUGCCUUACACAUGCAAGUCGAACGGCAGCACGGGUGCUUGCACCUGGUUGCGAGUGGCGCACGGGUGAGUAAUACAUCGGAACAUGUCCUGUAGUGGGGGAUCGCCCGGCGAAAGCCGGAUUUAUCCCGCAUACGCUCUACGGGUGAAAGCGGGGGACCUUCAGCCCUCGCUCUCUGGGGUUGGCCGAUGGCUGAUUAGCUAGUUGGUGGGGUAAAGGCCUACCAAGGCGACGAUCAGUAGCUGGUCUGAGAGGACGACCAGCCACACUGGAACUGAGACACGGCCCAGACUCCUACGGGAGGCAGCAGUGGGGAAUUUUGGACAAUGGGCGAAAGCCUGAUCCAGCAAUGCCGCGUGUGUGAAGAAGGCCUUCGGGUUGUAAAGCACUUUUGUCCGGAAAGAAAGCCUUGGCCCUAAUACGGUCGGGGGAUGACGGUACCGGAAGAAUAAGCACCGGCUAACUACGUG
rnacentral:rRNA from 1 species